rnacentral:rRNA from 1 species
UGGGGAAUCUUCCGCAAUGGACGAAAGUCUGACGGAGCAACGCCGCGUGAGUGAAGAAGGUUUUCGGAUCGUAAAACUCUGUCUUUUGGGGCGAACGUGAGUAUGGUGAACAAUCAUAGUCAGUGACGGUACCAAAGGAGGAAGCCACGGCUAACUACGUGCCAGCAGCCGCGGUAAUACGUAGGUGGCAAGCGUUGUCCGGAAUUAUUGGGCGUAAAGAGCGCGUAGGCGGGAUAGUCAGUCUGUUGUAAAAGUGCGGGGCUCAACCCCGUGAUGGCAAUGGAAACAGCUAUUCUUGAGUGCAGGAGAGGAAAGUGGAAUUCCCAGUGUAGCGGUGAAAUGCGUAGAUAUUGGGAGGAACACCAGUGGCGAAGGCGACUUUCUGGACUGUGUCUGACGCUGAGGCGCGAAAGCCAGGGGAGCGAACGGGAUUAGAUACCCCGGUAGUCCUGGCCGUAAAACGAUGGGUACUAGGUGUGGGAGGUAUCGACCCCUUCCGUGCCGGAGUUAACGCAAUAAGUACCCCGCCUGGGGAGUACGGUCGCAAGACUGAAACUCAAAUGAAUUGACGGGGUCAUAGCUG